CCCAAUGUUAAUGUCAUAUUCACUUGACAUUACCCAAUAUUACUGUGUUGAAGAAGGCCUUGAAAAUCGCGGGUAAGGUGCAGUCUUCCUUGCACAGGGCCCUCAUUUGCAAUGCAAAUAGCCCCAUUCCCACAAAGGCUGUUUCGUAUCUAUUAAGUCGUUGUGGCAGUAGCAAUAGAUAUCCUGUGAGGCCGGCGGAGAAGAAACAUAGCGAAGGGGGGAAUCCGGUUUCCUUUGGAAAGAGCAAUAACGGCACAGGGAAUUACGACGCAAAUAUUUCGGAUAAUGAAGAAUGGAAGUUGUUUUUUUGGACAAAGAUUGUUAAAUGAUCCUUUCAUAUCCAGCAGUUAGUUAUGGAGAGAUAAAGCCGAUGACUCUGAGCCAAAGGGUCCGUCCUGCGUGCUGCAUGGUCGGUCUGUCUGAAAAGAGUGGGGCGAAAGGGGCCAUCCCCAAACGAUCGGGGGGUUGGGGGUGGCCAAAAUAUGGACCAGCCCCGGUGAGGUCAAAGGCCUCGGACCACGACAAGGCAACUGCGGUGAUGUCAAGAAGAAAAAAAAAAUCGCAGAUGCACCCUACUAUCCAUGCAAUCUCCAUCCAUUACAGUGAGCGCGCUGGAAUAAGUCCGCCGUGCACCGCGCAGUCUGCGCGCACUCUCACACUCACACGGAAAUGAAAAGAGAUGGCAGGGAAACCAUAUUUUUGCAAAGAAAAGAGGGGGAUUCAACUGCUCCUAAUGGAAAAUGCGAUCAGAUUUGGUAUUUGCUACAAGAAAAAUGAAACAUCUCUACGAGAGAAUCCCGAGGCUGCAAAGGCGACAGCGUCUUCUCUUUCCUGCGCAGGCUGCCUUUCCCAUUCGCAAUAACACGCGACUUGCUCGCUCGUUGCGAUCCGUCUCUAAUAACAGGGUAGACUGCGAUGGUAUUCGGGGAGUCUGACUAUGUCGCCUUACGCAAAAUAAAUCCCAGGCGCUGCGCCCUGUGCGAGCGUGAGUGAACUCGCUCACUUUUCCACAGAAAUGAAGACAGUUAACCGAUAGCUUUGCACAAAUGGGUUAAUAUCUGGGAUCUAUGGAAGUGGGUCAACAAUAACAAGCAGUGGAACAUGUGAUGGAUCAUGCGCAGGAGCAUGCAACUGCAGAAUACCAGGUCCGCUUAUGGUACCUUGUGCACGACUUUGAUUCUGUUUUGGACCAUAAAACACCCUCAAAUCAGGAAAGAAAAGUUAGCCUCUUAAUCAAUAAUUAUGCGUCUGGAUGUGUGACAGAGAAAGCUUUUGUGUCUGUGUGAAUGCGAGAGUGUGCGUCUGUCUGUGUGUGUGUGUGUGUGUGUGUGUGUGUGUGUGUGUGUGUGUGUGUGUGUGUGUGUGUGUGUGUGUGUUCGUGUGCUUAUUUGACAGAUAUAGGAUAAUGGAAUUAUCAAAUUAACACGUUAUUUCUCAACGGCAUCAUCAGCUUCUAUACUUUUUCCCUGCAGGGGCCCCAUUCACUUACUACUGUUUUAGAUCUAGCUCUCAGGUUUACUGGUUGGUGGGAGGGGCGAAUCAGAGGGGUUUUAAUGAGCAAACAUAAGUCACAAGGCCUGUCCAUUUCAAUAAAGCUAUAGAGUCUAUAAACAGCACUUGGUCCCUCACACGUUAAUCCACAACUAUUGCAUUCAUAUUGUUUUGUCUUACGUAUCCCUUUCUAAAGAAAAUAUUCCACCUGCAAAAAUUUGCACUAAAAAUGUUCCAAAAUUCCAAAUUCACCUUCUCCAAAUUCAAUUUCUACAUAUUCACAAUCAGUCUGUCCUGAUGUGGAACUGGUGAAUACUGUAAGGCCAACUAUAUAAUUAUGAUCAUCGGUAUAAGGCACUCAUUAGGGUAAAUGGGGCUUCAGAAUCGGCCUGCCACACCGAGGCCAUAGUUUAAUCACAGCACAGCAUUUUUUAAACUUACAACCAACUGAUCCUCAACAAAAUUAUAACAAACUGAAUUUCCAUGAGAGUUAUUGCUACUGAAACCCCUCCCGAGUCCUUCUGGGAAAAAUCCCAGAAGGACUCGAUGUUUGUUUUAUUGGCUCUACUUUUUUAUAAAUUAGGCAUUUAUGCAUAACAACACAUGGAUAAACCCUACAGUGAACGGUUGGUGUGCAAUACAUUGUGUGGCUAUUCUGGUGACCUAUUUUCAUUCCCUGUGAGCCAAACUUUUUACCUUUGUUUCAGCACACUUUAGCACAAAUGCUGACGUGUCUCUGCACCUAACUGAAACUGAACACUUUAAUUUCUAAUCUCUCAAACACAUCGAUGUAGAAAACACAAUUUAAAAAAA
ensembl:lncRNA